AACGAACGCUGGCGGCAGGCUUAACACAUGCAAGUCGAACGCCCCGCAAGGGGAGUGGCAGACGGGUGAGUAACACGUGGGAACGUGCCCUAAGGUUUGGAAUAUUCCCGGGAAACUGGGAGCAAUACCAAAUGUGUCCGUAAGGAGAAAGAUUUAUCGCCUUAGGAUCGGCCCGCGUCAGAUUAGGUAGUUGGUGGGGUAAUGGCCUACCAAGCCGACGAUCUGUAGCUGGUCUGAGAGGACGACCAGCCACACUGGGACUGAGACACGGCCCAGACUCCUACGGGAGGCAGCAGUGGGGAAUCUUGGACAAUGGGCGCAAGCCUGAUCCAGCCAUGCCGCGUGGAUGAUGAAGGCCCUAGGGUUGUAAAAUCCUUUCGUUGGGGACGAUAAUGACGGUACCCAAAGAAGAAGCUCCGGCUAACUUCGUGCCAGCCGCCGCCGUAA
rnacentral:rRNA from 1 species